UACGUAGGGUGCAAGCGUUAAUCGGAAUUACUGGGCGUAAAGCGUGCGCAGGCGGUUUUGUAAGUCUGGCGUGAAAUCCCCGGGCUCAACCUGGGAAUUGCGAUGGAGACUGCAAGGCUAGAAUCUGGCAGAGGGGGGUAGAAUUCCACGUGUAGCAGUGAAAUGCGUAGAGAUGUGGAGAAACACCGAUGGCGAAGGCAGCCCCCUGGGUCAAGAUUGACGCUCAUGCACGAAAGCGUGGGGAGCAAACAGG
rnacentral:rRNA from 1 species